GUGAAUCAUCGAAUUUUUGAACGCAAAUUGCGCUUUCUGGUAUUCCGGGGAGUAUGCCUGUUUGAGGGUCAGUUAAAUAAAAAUCGGAGUUGUUUCUGCGGUUCGUGAUGACGCGUCGGGAGGGAGUUGGCUUGCCUUCAAUUGAGUGGGUUAAAAUUUUACGUGAUUGUCGAACGUAUUUAAAGUUGUUACAUACGAUUGGGAUAUCAAAUACUUUAGUAGGUUCGGUCGUCCGCAUGUUGGGCGCCUAUAAUUUUUCAUUAAGUGACCUCAAAUCAUGU
rnacentral:misc_RNA from 1 species